rnacentral:lncRNA from 1 species
GAUUUUGCAGCCAUGAUGAGUUGUUGCAGAACUUCUUCAAGUCGUCGAAUAGCCCUGAUAAGACUCCCUUCGAAAACUUGGGUAAUUUCCAUAAUUUCGUAGAACUUGGAACCUUUAGCCCAUGCAUACACAGCUUCCAUGAUGUCUGAACGAAAAGAAUGUACGUAACUUUCAACGUCAAUUUGGACCUGCAAUUGCAAAUUUGAUUUUCUGUUUAUUCAUUAUUUUAGAGUUGGAAAAUGAACUUUUCAAAAAUUGGAAGAAAAAAGUCAUCAAAAUGGACGAUUCUAAUUGCAAUAUUGAAUAAUACAAAUUUGUGUGAAGUGGUCAUUCACCCUUAAAUGUUUACAGGAUUUAAUGUCUAUAGGAUUUCAACCUUCAACUCAAACAAGAAGUGGAAAAUGGAAACCCAUAAAAAAAGUUCCAGUAUGAUUUUGAUAUCUCAUCGUGUUCACCUUAGUGUCACUCACUCUGAACAUGGUAAGAACGGUUAACUUUGAUGUUCUAAAUAUGGUGAAUUUUACUAUUUAGGCAUGUUUAAAGUUAUCAUAUUUAAAGUUUUAAACAGGUUCAGAACUAGAACAACACAUUAAACACGAUAUUUUGUAACUGUUUUUUUACAUCAAUAAUAAGUAGAAAUAUACAUUAGUUGACGACCCCCAACCCUCAUAAGUAAGACAAUAGAUAUCUUAUAAAAUAGUUGAAUGGUUUUUUAAAAGAAAAAACCCAUUAGCAUGCUUCUACAAUCUACAUAAAUAUUAUCAUUUCUUUUUUCCAAAAAAAAAAUGAUUUUUUGCCUUAUUUGCAGUAUAAAAGGAUGCAAGUAAAUAAAAAUUACCUUACACUCAAGUUGAACAUUGGCAACUCUUCUAGCUGUUUCUUGUAAAUGAGAAAAGAG